GGACGAUUCAAGCUGAACGGUGUGGUUAUCGUUCGGGACUCGAGACGUAGCUAAACGAGCCAGUCACUUACUAUGGACCAUGUUCAUGGUUUCCAGAUUUACGGUUUCCAGCUGGGUAUCCAGUUUGCAGAUAAGCUACAGUUCAUCAACAUUUGCCUGCAGAAAGUGUACAAUUUGUUAAGGGGCUAUAUCAUCUCCCUCCUGUCAUCCCUUAAACGUCCAG